CGAAGGGUGCAAGCGUUGUUCGGAUUUAUUGGGCGUAAAGCGCGCGCAGGCGGGAUGGCAAGUCAGAUGUGAAAUCUCGGGGCUCAACUCCGAAACUGCGUCUGAGACUACUAUUCUAGAAUACUGGAGAGGGAUGGGGAAUUUCGCAUGUAGGGGUAAAAUCCGUAGAUAUGCGAAGGAACACCUGGAGCGAAGGCGCCAUCCUGGACAGUCAUUGACGCUGAGGCGCGAAAGCGUGGGUAGCAAACAGGAUUAGAUACCCUGGUAGUCCACGCCGUAAACGAUGAGCACUAGUUAUUGGGGGUAUUGACUCCCCCAGUGACGUAGCUAACGCAUUAAGUGCUCCGCCUGGGAAGUACGGUCGCAAGAUUA
rnacentral:rRNA from 1 species